rnacentral:rRNA from 1 species
AGAGAUCAUGGCUCAGAAUCAACGCUGGCGGCGUGCCUAACACAUGCAAGUCGAACGCGAAAGGGGAGCAAUCCCUGAGUAGAGUGGCAAACGGGUGAGUAACACGUGGGUGACCUACCUUCGAGUGGGGGAUAACGUCCCGAAAGGGACGCUAAUACCGCAUGACAUCCUGCUCUUGGAAGAGCGGAGAUCAAAGCCGGGGAUCGCAAGACCUGGCGCUUGAUGAGGGGCCCGCGCCUGAUUAGCUAGUUGGUGGGGUAACGGCCUACCAAGGCGACGAUCAGUAUCCGGCCUGAGAGGGCGGACGGACACACUGGGACUGAGACACGGCCCAGACUCCUACGGGAGGCAGCAGUGGGGAAUUGUUCGCAAUGGGCGCAAGCCUGACGACGCAACGCCGCGUGGAGGACGAAGAUCUUCGGGUCGUAAACUCCUGUCGAGCGGGAAGAACAUCCUUUGGGCGAAUAUCCUGAAGGACUGACGGUACCGCUAAAGGAAUCCCCGGCUAACUCCGUGCCAGCAGCCGCGGUAAUACGGGGGGGGCAAGCGUUGUUCGGAAUUACUGGGCGUAAAGGGCUCGUAGACGGCCAACUAAGUCAGAUGUGAAAUCCCCAGGCUCAACCUGGGAACUGCAUCUGAUACUGGAUGGCUUGAAUUCGGGAGAGGGAUGCAGAAUUCCAGGUGUAGCGGUGAAAUGCGUAGAUAUCUGGAGGAAUACCGGUGGCGAAAGCGGCAUCCUGGACCGACAUUGACGCUGAGGAGCGAAGGCUAGGGGAGCAAACGGGAUUAGAUACCCCGGUAGUCCUAGCCCUAAACGAUGAAUGCUUGGUGUAGCGGGUAUCGAUCCCUGCUGUGCCGAAGCUAACGCAUUAAGCAUUCCGCCUGGGGAGUACGGUC